AGAGUUGAUCCUGGCUAGGACGAACGCUGGCGGCGUGCCUAACACAUGCAAGUCGAGCGGAGUUAACAAGAGGAAGUUUCGGAUGGAAUUUGUAAUUAGCGGCGGACGGGUGAGUAACGCGUGAGCGACCAACCUUGCACAGGGGGAUAACGGACCGAAAGGUUCACUAAUACCGCAUGAGACCACGGUGUUGCAUGACACAGAGGUCAAAGGAGCAAUCCGGUGCAAGACGGGCUCGCGUCCGAUUAGGUAGUUGGUGGGGUAAUGGCCCACCAAGCCUAUGAUCGGUAGCCGACCUGAGAGGGUGAUCGGCCACAUUGGAACUGAGAUACGGUCCAAACUCCUACGGGAGGCAGCAGUGGGGAAUAUUGGGCAAUAGGGGGGAAACCCUGACCCAGCAACGCCGCGUGAAGGAAGAAGGUUUUCGGAUUGUAAACUUCUGUCCUUGGUGAAGAGAAGAAGACGGUAGCCAAGGAGGAAGCCCCGGCUAACUACGUGCCAGCCGCCGC
rnacentral:rRNA from 1 species